rnacentral:rRNA from 1 species
UACGAAGGGUGCAAGCGUUACUCGGAAUUACUGGGCGUAAAGCGUGCGUAGGCGGUUUGUUAAGUCUGUCGUGAAAGCCCCGGGCUCAACCUGGGAAUGGCGGUGGAUACUGGCAGGCUAGAGUACGGUAGAGGAUGGUGGAAUUCCCGGUGUAGCGGUGAAAUGCGUAGAGAUCGGGAGGAACAUCAGUGGCGAAGGCGGCCAUCUGGACCAGCACUGACGUUGAGGCACGAAAGCGUGGGGAGCAAACAGG